rnacentral:lncRNA from 1 species
GCUGAACGCUAUUUAUCAAUAUACUAGUGAAAAUCAACAGCCUAUGGUCUUCUUGGAAUAAAGUCUAACACCAAAGCGUGAACAGAUAUGAAAAAACAAACAACAGCUACGCGAGAACUGCAGCGUUUUUUAUGACCGAAAUCUUUCGUUGCUUAAGCACUGUAGCUCUGCCUCUUUUUUGUACAACAUCUUUUGCAUACCCAAGCGGUGAGAUGACACCAUUGGCAAAGCUCAAUUCCCGGCUCUCACUCCGCGCUCAAAAAUACAAGUGCGCGGGCCUCCGUUCACACAAACAAAACCGCAGCUGCGUAGCUCCUUAUUCAGCAGUUCAUUGGUUCACGGCAUGCACUUCCGGUCAUAACGGAGAACAAGAAACCUGUUGUUAGGCGUUAUCGAGUCGCAACAGAGGUGAACACAACUUCAGCUUAAACCGGAGGAAUAGGGCCUUGCCUGCCUUCCGCUAGCAGUCAGCCUCUUGUCCCAACUCUUGCCACAAGUCGGUGAAGCUCUGCGUAUGGCGAAACAUACAUAAGGUCAGUCGCUUAAUGAUUUCAUGUACGUCGUUUCAGGGAUGAUCCAAAUUAUCAAAUUGCAGCUGAAUGGUGUUUUUGUGAAUCGAGGUGACUCGUACAUCCCGAGACAGGUUAUUUCGGUCCUCCCCGUCGAUCGUAUACGACCCUCUCUAGAAAUAUCGUCUUUUCAAAAUGUUUCGUCAUCCGUGAUCCAUAGAACGUGGCCAACAACCCGGGUUGGAAGCUGCAGUGGAACAAGCAACUUUGCAUUUUACAGGAGGGAAGGCAUCAUACGAGUCGGCGAGACCCCCGCAGAUGCUAUGCCAGGCAUGGGACAUAUGCACCACGACGCCCUAACGUCUCGCAACGUCCUCAUGUUAAAAAUGAGAACAUGAACAAGAGCCAUCGGGCGAGCUUGACGGGGAAUCACCGCGACAGAAAGCCUUCUUCGGAG